GAUGAACGCUAGCGGCGGGCUUAAUACAUGCAAGUCAAGGGGGUAGCAAUACAACCGGCGCACGGGUGAGUAACGCGUACACAACAUACCAUAUACUGGGGUAUAGCUUUGGGAAACUGAAGGUAAUCCCCCAUAACAUUGCGAGAGGGCAUCUGAUUGCAAUUAAAGUUUCGGCGGUAUAUGAUUGGUGUGCGUUUGAUUAGCUAGUUGGUAGGGUAACGGCCUACCAAGGCGACGAUCAAUAGCUGGCGUGAGAGCGCGACCAGCCACACUGGAACUGAGACACGGUCCAGACUCCUACGGGAGGCAGCAGUAGGGAAUAUUGGACAAUGGAGGAAACUCUGAUCCAGCCAUGCCGCGUGAUAGAUGAAGGCCCUCUGGGUUGUAAACUGCUUUUGUACGGAACGAAACGGUGAGCUCUAAUAAAGCUUGCUAAUGACGGUACCGUAAGAAUAAGCACCGGCUAACUACGUGCCAGCAGCCGCGGUAAUCAUA
rnacentral:rRNA from 1 species